GUCUUUUUGUUUUUUAUAUAAGGUCAGACCUGCCCAAUGAAUUUUAAAUGGCCGCAGUACUUUAACUGUGCAAAGGUAGCAUAAUAAUUUGUUUUUUAAUUGGAAACUAGUAUGAAUGGUCAUACGAGGGAUUGACUUUCUUUAUCUUACUUAAAUUAAUUUUAUUUUUCUGUGAAAAAGCAGAAAUUUCAUUAGUAGACGAUAAGACCCUUUAAAACUUUAUUCAUUAUAGAAGUAUAAUUUUGUUAGGUUUUAAUAGUGUACUUUUUUAAUGAGUUUUGUUGGGGCGACAGGUAAAUUUAUUUAACUUUAUUUUUGUUUUUCACUAAUUAGUGUUUAUUUGAUCCAGAUUUAGUUUUGAUUAUAAGUUUAAGUUACUUAA
rnacentral:rRNA from 1 species